GGGCUGAGGGAUGAGCUCUGCUCUGCGCCGGGGAAGGUGGAGCGGGCCCCGCUGGGGCUGCCGCGCCGCAUCCCCUGAGCCCCGCUCCCCCCUGCCCUGCGCAGCGUGAGCCCCGAGGUUGUGUGAGGAUUAAUUAAGCGGGGCCUCAGCCGCUUCCAGGGCAGCUCUCAUAAGUCCUACCUGUGCAAAGCAAAGGCUGUUUGUGCAGGAAACAGGCAGAAAUUCCCAAGGGGCGGUACGUGCCGAGAGGGGAGGGCUGGGAGCUGCUGAGGGGACAUCAAACACAUAGCGUGCAACCCCUGUGCCUGCAGGAGACGAGGAGCAGCUGUGGGACAGCCGCCCUCUGUGUGCAGCCGGCCGGCCUCCACCUGGGCGUGAGGCACGAAGAGCUUUGCAGUUACUGCGGCUGCACCGCAAACCGAGCGAGCUCUGGGAGCUCCGGCUUGGAAACGCACAGCACUGCAUAUUCACUGCUAAACAGGCUGUCCCCUUUAAUACUCAGAUGCUCAUUCAGCUGGUGAUGUGUAAAACAGAAGAUAGCAAAUAUGCAGAGUACAACCAAGUUGUAGUGACUUGAUUUUGAGUUGCAUAAGUAGUGAUGCAACAAUCCUAUCGCGUUAGGAUCCAUCUUUUCUAUGAGAGCACCAGGACUGAGGGAUGUAAUAACGUCUAUCUAGAGGCACAGAGGCUCAGCACAUGGGAAGGGAAGAGGAAAGCACCAUGUAACACUUGGGCAGCAUGGAGGAAGUCCUCCUGUGGUCUGAAGUCUGGGCUUAGCAUCUCAGAUCAUCCACAGAAAGGAGCAGCACAAGUAAGGCCAUGACACAUGAACAGUGAUCUUGUUCUCAGAGACAGAAAAGGAGAGGCUGGUUUGUGCAGAGGGAUUCCCCCGGCUCCGCUCAACACUUCCUGCAGUUUCAUGCCCACAUUUUCCACAAGUAUUGUUUUCCUGCAAUGUAAAGAGAGGCAUUAAACAGGAAAAAAAAAAAAACAACCAAAACCAGGAAAGUCAGAUUUCAUUUUGACAAGCACAGUAUUGCCAAGGAGUCUGCACUUGCAGCUGGACUGCAAUAAAUAGACAGACAAUCAUUGACUUGCAUUACAUUUGAUCAGUCCCCAGGUUCUCCAGAACAAUGACUUGGGACUCAUUUUUCUAUCAAGGUAUCCUUUAAAAAGGGAGUGAAACAAAGCCAAACAUAGGAGUUUUGCAAGCUGCCAUCGAGACCUGUGAGCUCCAUGGGAGGUCUACACACGCCAGUGGUCAGUUACAUCAAUCUAGAGGCAUCAUGGCUCUGUGAGCACGGAUCUCUGUUACGUGGUCUCAGGGGGAAGAGAUUUCUGUGUCCACCAGCUGAGGAACGAUGAGCUGUGUGAUGAACAUGCCUCCUUGCCCUUCCUUCAAACUUAAAACUGUCCAGGCUUGCUGGAAUCACCACCUUUAGGGAGCAGAGAUUCUCAACACCACACAGGAACAGUGUGGCUAUCAGUGUGGUAUUGCUAAGAGACUGCAACCAUCACAACCAUCUCCAGCACAACUUGUAGAUGACUGAAAUCCUUACAGCAACUUGGGAAUAUCCUAACAGAAGAGCAGAACCUGACCGUAUGUGUUGAGAAGAAGUGAAAGAUGCUUCAUGGCUUUAGGAUGAUGUCACUUACUAAAAGCACUGAAGCUGGUGAUUGUUUCUAUUUGGUUGAAGAGAACAACUAGAUGUGACUAUCCUCUGCCUAAAUAUUAAAGAGAAACCUGCAAAACAAGAAUUGCAAGCUUCAUUAAGACAUAACAAGCCAAAAUAAUUCUUGAGCCAAGGCAGAGCCCAGGAUAAGGUUUGAAGUUCUGACUGUCGUGGUUUAAGCCCACCUCGUAACUCAGCAUCACACAGCCACUCGCUGGCUCCUCCUUUCUCCCAGAGGGAUGGGGAGCAGGAGUGAAUGGAUUCCUUCAAACAGAUGCAACAGUUUUGAUUUGCUCAGGGUGAUUUACUGGCUAUAUCAAGUCACAAAGCUUUCAAUGACAGUAAGUCUACAGAUUGCCACCACAAUUAGGCCUGCAGUUUUCUGGCCGCAAGGACAGUACAAUCAGCAGAACACAAGGAGGAGAUAGAAAAGUUGUAUUGCAGUUGUCCUGUCAGUCUGAAAUCCCCAAGUCCUGUUAAAGGCCUCAUGCAGAAGCAGGCUCGAGUACUUGCAGAAAAGUAAAGAUUUGACGAAAAAAUGGAGGAGAACUGAUUUUUCUCUCUGCAGGCUGCCUUACUGACAUGGAUGUUGUUGGGUUGGGUUUUUUUUAAUGCAGUGUAGGCACACUCGUGAUUAAGAAGCUCUGUGCACUCCCUUAGCCCCACACAUUAUUUCUCUUCCUUUAUCACCUGAACAAAAGAGUAGUAACUAGAACUAAAAGUAUGACUACUUGUGAGCAAGAUUGUAACGUACCCAGGGCAACCAAAAGCCAUGAAAACUGUGCUGAAUUAUGACAGCAGAGAUGAAAAGAGUAAUUAAGGCGAAGCAAUGUUGAGUUCAAAGCUUGCUGGCAAUGUUGAUGUUUUCACACCACUGUUAAAUAAAGACCAGAAUGAGAGCUGGCAACAGAUGCAGUGAGACACUGUAGUCUGACACUCAGGGACAGGCCUGAAGGGCUCAUCCCUGUUUCAGACCCUGGUGCUGAUACAACCCAGCUGGUUUAGCUCUGUUGUGAAACACAACAGCCCACAAAUACAAAUACAACCAACUAAAGUCCAUCUUAAACUGCACUGAACAGGCAGGGAAGGACAUCCGUUGUUACUCAUACGCUAAGAAAAGAAAGCUAAUGAUAGUGCUAUAAUAUUAGAUUUACAGCUUGAGGAAAGGUCAACCCAGCAUCUCCACGCUGACAUUUUACUCCCAGUCCCAGGGCCUGGUGGGGCUCUUUCUCUCUUGGGAAGGACAUUUCAACACAGUGUUUAAACAGGGGGGUUUAAACCAAAGCAUGACGACCAAAUUAACAGAGUAACCGUGGGUAUUGCCCCUGCAUUGUACUGCCCAGGCCUGUCAUACAGGAGUGGGCUUGUGCAACACUUGGUGCUAAUUCUUUUACCAAGUUCCUAGGCAAAAGGGACAGGGUUUAUGUAGGAAUUCUCAUGGCUGCGUGAGGCAUUUACCUCACCCGACAAGUGGCAGCAUUAUUUAUAACUUUUAUGUAAGACAUCCUAAGAGUGCACUUUGUGCAGAAA